GCCGAUGUGGCGAAAUCGGUAGACGCAGGGGACUCAAAAUCCCCCGCCGCAAGGCGUGCCGGUUCGAGUCCGGCCAUCGGCACCA
rnacentral:tRNA from 1 species